AUUGAACGCUGGCGGCAUGCCUUACACAUGCAAGUCGAACGGUGACAGGUCUUCGGAUGCUGACGAGUGGCGAACGGGUGAGUAAUACAUCGGAACGUGCCUAGUAGUGGGGGAUAACUACUCGAAAGAGUGGCUAAUACCGCAUGAGAUCUACGGAUGAAAGCAGGGGAUCGCAAGACCUUGUGCUACUAGAGCGGCCGAUGGAGGAUUAGGUAGUUGGUGGGAUAAAAGCUUACCAAGCCGACGAUCUGGAGCCGGUCUGAGAGGCCAACCAGCACAACGGGACCUGGAAACCGCCCAAGACUCCACGGGAGGCAGCAGUGGGGAAUUUUGGACAAUGGGCGCAAGCCUGAUCCAGCAAUGCCGCGUGCAGGAUGAAGGCCUUCGGGUUGUAAACUGCUUUUGUACGGAACGAAAAGCCCCGGGUUAAUACCCUGGGGUCAUGACGGUACCGUAAGAAUAAGCACCGGCUAACUACGUGCCAGCAGCCGCAGUAA
rnacentral:rRNA from 1 species